rnacentral:rRNA from 1 species
UGGGGAAUAUUGGACAAUGGGCGAAAGCCUGAUCCAGCCAUGCCGCAUGAGUGAAGAAGGCCUUUGGGUUGUAAAGCUCUUUUAGUGAGGAAGAUAAUGACGGUACUCACAGAAGAAGUCCUGGCUAACUCCGUGCCAGCCGCCGCGGUAAUACGGAGAGGGCUAGCGUUAUUCGGAAUUAUUGGGCGUAAAGGGCGCGUAGGCUGGUUAAUAAGUUAAAAGAGAAAUCCCGAGGCUUAACCUUGGAAUUGCUUUUAAAACUAUUAAUCUAGAGAUUGAAAGAGGAUAGAGGAAUUCCUGAUGUAGAGGUAAAAUUCGUAAAUAUUAGGAGGAACACCAGUGGCGAAGGCGUCUAUCUGGUUCAAAUCUGACGCUGAAGCGCGAAGGCGUGGGGAGCAAACA